UUUUUGAACCAGGCUCUGAGACGCGCACACACCGCCCGUCACUCUCCCCAUCACCCAAUAACCAAGUAAAUAACAACAAACCAAUGAAAGCGGGGAGGCAAGUCGUAACAUGGUAAGUGUACCGGAAGGUGCACUUGGAACA
rnacentral:rRNA from 1 species